rnacentral:rRNA from 1 species
GACGAAUGCUGGCUGCGUGCUUAACACAUGCAAGUCGAACGGUGAAAGGGAGCUUGCUCCCUGGAUCAGUGGCGAACGGGUGAGUAACACGUGGGCAACCUGCCCCUCACUCUGGGAUAACUCCGGGAAACCGGGGCUAAUACCGGAUACGACCUGGUGCGACAUCGCACCGGGUGGAAAGAACUUCGGUGAGGGAUGGGCCCGCGGCCUAUCAGCUUGCUGGUGGGGUAACGGCCCACCAAGGCGACGACGGGUAGCCGGCCUGAGAGGGCGACCGGCCACACUGGGACUGAGACACGGCCCAGACUCCUACGGGAGGCAGCAGUGGGGAAUAUUGCGCAAUGGGCGAAAGCCUGACGCAGCGACGCAGCGUGAGGGACGAAGGCCUUCGGGUUGUAAACCUCUUUCAGCGGGGACGAAGCGAAAGUGACGGUACCCGCAGAAGAAGCACCGGCUAACUACGUGCCAGCCGCCGCGGUAAUAC